rnacentral:pre_miRNA from 1 species
UCUUAUGGAUGAGCAAAGAAAGUGGCUUCUUGAGAUGGAAUCUACUCUUAGUGAAGGUGCUAUGAA